rnacentral:tRNA from 1 species
AUUUAUAUAGUUUAAUUAAAACCCUACAUUUUCAUUGUAAAAAUAAAGAAUUUUCUUUUAUAAAUU